rfam:Dipodomys ordii contig_6611, whole genome shotgun sequence.
GGUGGCUCAAUGGUAGAGCGCUUGCCUUGCAUGCAUAAGGCCCUGGGUUCGAUUCCUCAGCACCA